rnacentral:lncRNA from 1 species
UGUCUUUCCAGGACAGCUUUUCCCAGCACCAGAAGUCGGGCCAGUUAAAAUCAUGCGUUGCUUUCCCGCGGGGCUGGGAGCUGGGGCGGCGGGCCGAGCUGCUGGCCUAACCCCGGAGGGUCCCGGGCUGGCCACUUUCGGGUGCUCUGGGUUUCUCUGCUCUUACUCUCGAAUUACACCAAGUUACUACACGAUAUGUUUUUAACAUUUAUUUCAAGAAACGAGACCCCAGCAGUCUGUAAACCCGGGCCAAGCCGGCGUGGUACAACCACAAAGUGCUACUCUCCAGCGCCAGAGGAGGCCCGAGGCCCUGAGGUUCCCAGCCCCGAGGUUCGAGGUUCGAGGUUCACCUCAGAACCCCAAGCUUCCCUCGAAGGAUGGGAGCCUAAAUCAAAAAGCAAAUUUAAAUCUUGCAAUCACUGCUGGGAAGUGAGCUGUAUCAUCCUGAGAAAUCAGACCAUAGAGACAGGCCUGCAGCUGGCAGCCUGGGUCAUCUUUAAUCGCUUAACCCUUCAUAUCAAAGAACGGCUUGUAGCAGCGGAUUCCUUCUCCAGAAUUUCCCAUGGCAGAUUUUCUCAAGGAAAAGCUGGCCUGGAUCAGCAAUGGAAUACCUGGACAGGUAACUCUUGUAAAUAUGAAUCCAGCUGACUGCUGACCACCAGGCAGAGGAUGGAACUUUUUGCUAAAGACUGUCAUCUGCUCUGUGCUAUGGGACAUUGGAGAAGGAUCUCUUCUAGACUCACGCAGAGAGAGAAGAGGAAGUGGAGCCUGGCCAGGGUGGACUCUUACCAGGUCCAUUUGCAGUAAAGAUGGCAGCCAGAAGGGGAUGAGCAGGAGGACGUGGACCUGGUCCUUGGUGUUGUUAAAGCAGCCUUGCCUGUGAGGAACACUAGUUGCUGUAAGGAGCGGCAGGGAGGGACUGUGAGGGUAUUAGUGCUUGCCUGGAAAUGAUCAUAACUAGAGUUGUCAAUUUAAUUUUACUUAGGCAAGACUAACCAGAUUGGAAGACAUGUAAGUUAUAAAUAUUUUAAAUAAGCAUUAUUAAUUAUAUCAAUGGGAGUCUUUUAUCCUUUUCUGACAACAUGAUCAGCCAAAUAUGGUUGAAAUGUGUUCCUGUUUUCUGUGAACUGUAUGGUUCUCAGUUUUCUCUUAUUUGUAGAGUUUGCUAUAAUAUAAUGUUAGAUGAGCAUGUGCAUUUGUUGUAUCUUAAUUGUGGAUUACACUCCUAAUCAAUCUAAAAUGCCCUUCUUGGCCUAUUUAAUACAUUGUUUGUAAUUUCUGUCCCAGUUUCCUUUUUGUGUGCAUAUAUCUUAGCUAAGCAUUUAACCUUUAUUACUGACCUUUUUGUUGGAAUUGUAGGUUGUGUAUUUUGUAUUUUGACCAAGCAUAAAAAGACUUUGUUAAUCAGGGAGAUAAUUACACUAAUAGUGAUUUUCAAAACUGGUACUUGUGGUGCACAUUGCUGUUCCUGCCCAGGAUCUGUUCCCACCAGCUUUGCUGGAAACAAAUCCAGCAUUUGCAGGAGCUCUCCUGGCAAAUCAGCAGAACCUAUUGUCAUUCCAUCUCCCAAGAUGGAUUGAUUGGCCUAAGUGUCAUGCCAACAAUUGGCUCAGAAUGGGCAAGGAACUCAGCUGGGAGAAUGGAAACAAUUUGGGGGAUUUCCGGAGAUAAUGUCUUUGCUCUUAAGAAAGCCAUAGGAGAGUGUUCUCUCUUCUGCUGAGUCUUAUCACAACUGGACACUACUCCUGGAAAUGUGAUAUACAGCAAUCUUGCUGGCUGCUGGUGGAUGAAGUCUUCACAAAGAUGGCAGAGAAACAAGUUGAGAAAAAUCUGAGCUCUUGAACAUAUAUAUCAAUUAUCUUCUGACUCAAUUUCUCAGUGGCUUUUGUAUAUCUUGUGUUCCUGUUGUGUAAAAUUAGCCAGUUCUUUACUAUUGUUUAAAUCAGGGUUUUAGCUACUUAUGACAAGCACCUAAUCAACUCAAAAUGUUCAUUUUAUGUUAACUUUUAAUCUCCUAUCCUUUAUUUUAUGUUUUUAAUGUAUUAUUUCUCUUUGGUUGUCCAUCACUUUAAUAUAGAUUAUAUUUGAUUUCCUUUUGUUUUCUCCUGAGAAUUGCUAAAUAUGCAACCUAUGUUUAAUUCUACUAAAAGUUGAGUGGCUUAAAAUAUACUGGAGCCUAUAUUUUUAGAAGUAAAAACAUCACUAUAAAGCUUAAUGAGUUCUUCAUAUAUACCAUGCCAGUGUGCUAAACAAGAUAUGUAUAUUCAUUCAUUUGGUCUUCACUAUAGGACUCAGAAAUACAUAAAGUCAAAGUACCUUGCCCAUGUAAAGGGGAAACUCAAUUGCCUUCUCUACAGAUAAAAAAAUUAGUAGUUUUUUUUAUGCCAUGUCCUUAGCUCUCCAUUCACUUCCAGAUUUUUGUGUCUACUGGAGAAUCUCAGAGCUGGAAAAUUAAUAAUUAAUUAUUUUAUAUUAUGUAUUUUUUCAACGAAAAAUAUUUUCAUUUGGUUUCAAAUCCACAUUUCCUUCAACCAUUUGGAUUGAAUUCUACAUUUAAAUACUUUUGGUACUCACCUUUAUUGCAUUUAAACUCUGAUCUUUUAUUCUAAAUUCAUUGUUAGAUAUAACUCAUGUUUUGGGGCAGUUUUAUUCUGAAGCUAAGUUGUUUUUGAAUAGUUAUCAUAUAAUAAUCAUUUGGUUGUUUAUAGAAAUUCCUCAAAAUUCUAUGUGUUUUUUUAAUGUCUUUUUAUAUUUAGUGCUCUGUAGAUGUUUAAGCCUGUCCCUCCCUCCCUCCCUUCCUCCCUCUCUCCUUCUUUCUCUCAUAGUCUUUCUGGUUCAUUUUUACCCACAUUUUGUUAGUGUCUUAGUCAUUUUCUUGUUACUGAGACACAAUACCAACACAAUUUAAAGGAGGAGAGGUUUAUUUUGGCUCACAGUUUGUAGAAGUUUCAGUCCACUUUCAGCUGGCUGUAAGGGAGGGUAGCAUGAGAAACAGCUCAUGGCAUGGCAGACAGGAGGCAGAGAGAGUGAAGGGAGGAUCAAGGGAGGAGAUAUGCCCUUCUAGGCCAUGCCCCCAGUGACCUUCCUUCUUUGACCAGCCUGUCCUCCUCAAGAUCACAUUAGGUCUCACCCACUGCUGAAUAUCACACCUCCAUGACCCAAUCACCUUCCUAAAGCCCCCUCUAUGAGCACGUGAAGCUUUCAUGGGACAUCUAGCUAUGAACAAUAGCAGUGAUUUUUUUUACACAGUUAAUUUCCCAUUGCACAAGUAUUUCCUAAAAAUAUCCUCUUUCCAAAUAAUAAAACCACACAGAUUUUUUAGAAAAUCCUAUUUGAUCACCCAAUCUUGAGCUCAUACUCCUUCCCCAGAGAGAACUAUUGUGAUCACUUUGUAUAAAUCAUUCCAGAACGUUUCUAUGAACUUACAUAAAUAUACAGAUGGUCCCCAACUUACUAUGGUUUGACUUAUGAUUAUUCAACUUUAUAAUGGUAUAAAUAUGUACUGAAACAACCAUUCUGUUUUGUC